UUAAGCAUAUCAAUAAGCGGAGGAAAAGAAACCAACAGGGAUUGCCUCAGUAACGGCGAGUGAAGCGGCAACAGCUCAAAUUUGAAAUCUGGCCCGUUCCGGGUCCGAGUUGUAAUUUGGAGAGGAUGCUUCGGGCAAGGCUGCGGUCCAAGUUCCUUGGAACAGGACGUCAGAGAGGGUGAGAAUCCCGUCUUCAACCGCGAGCCGCGUCCAUGUGAGGCUCCUUCGACGAGUCGGGUUGUUUGGGAAUGCAGCUCAAAAUGGGUGGUAAAUUUCAUCUAAAGCUAAAUACUGGCCAGAGACCGAUAGCGCACAAGUAGAGUGAUCGAAAGAUGAAAAGCACUUUGAAAAGAGAGUUAAACAGCAUGUGAAAUUGUUGAAAGGGAAGCGCUUGCCGCUAGACUUGUGGGCGGUGAUUCAGCCGUUCUUCUGAACGGUGCACUUUGCCGUCCCCAGGCCAGCAUCGGUCUGGGCAGCCAGUUAAAGGCCCGGGGAAUGUAUCAACCCUCCGGGGUUGACUUAUAGCUCCGGGUGCCAUGUGGCUCGCCUAGACCGAGGAACGCGCUCUGCACGGAUGCUGGCGUAAUGGCGGUAAGCGACCCGUCU
rnacentral:rRNA from 1 species